rnacentral:rRNA from 1 species
UACGGAGGAUGCAAGCGUUAUCCGGAAUGAUUGGGCGUAAAGCGUCCGCGGGUGGCUAUGUAAGUCUGCUGUUAAAGAGUGAGGCUCAACCUCAUAAGAGCAGUGGAAACUACAUAGCUAGAGUGCGUUCGGGGCAGAGGGAAUUCCUGGUGUAGCGGUGAAAUGCGUAGAUAUCAGGAAGAACACCGGUGGCGAAAGCGCUCUGCUAGGCCGCAACUGACACUGAGGGACGAAAGCUAGGGGAGCGAAUGGG